CAUGUGUUGGCUGUGGUAGGAAGGGGUGGGCUGAUCCUCAGGCCCAAGGCAGCCAAGUCUGGUGAGGCAGCUGAGCAGGCUGCCUCACUUCCCUCUCUUUCUUUGCUUUAGGUGUUUCCUGUCACUUCUUUGUUGAAUUCCAGCAUUCUCUCUUAGAUGGUAUAUUUGAAGUGUGAUUAUCUUCUCAAUACUUCGGUGGUUCUUUAUGGAGGAGUUGUGUAGAGUGGCGUUGUGUGUGUGCACGUCUGUGUGUGUGCUUCAGUCACAGAAGGGGGUGAGAAGUGGGAAGAGGGGAUUUUCAUAGAACCUCCAAUUUUCCUUAUUUCCUAGGGAGUUGAUGAUUUCAGCAAAUAUAAGUCUUAACGUUACAUCUGCAAUGGAAAAACAAGUCAAACUCAGCAAAAAGGAGCCCUGAAGAGACAGAGUUAAGUGUUUCCGUGAUGAGAGUAGAGUUGGCCUAUGCUGUCCCUCCCAGGACUCCUUUACCCAAGAGAAGGAGAGAGUGUGCAUCCAAAGGGGAGCGAAAAUAGAAUAUAAAUAGGGAAAAUAGAACCAUUCAGAGCAGUUCAG
rnacentral:lncRNA from 1 species